UCUACGGGCGGCAGCAGUGAGGAAUAUUGGUCAAUGGGCGGGAGCCUGAACCAGCCAAGUCGCGUGAGGGAAGACGGUCCUACGGAUUGUAAACCUCUUUUGCCGGGGAGCAACGGGGUCCUUGCGAGGGCCCAAUGAGAGUACCCGGAGAAAAAGCAUCGGCUAACUCCGUGCCAGCAGCCGCGGUAAUACGGAGGAUGCGAGCGUGAUCAGGAUUUAUUGGGGUUAAAGGGUGCGUAGGCGGGCUGUUAUGUCAGCGGUCAAAUGUCGGGGAUCAACCCCGGCCUGCCGUUGAUACUGGCGGCCUCGAGUGGGCGAGAGGUAUGCGGAAGGCGUGGUGUAGCGGUGAAGUGCAUAGAUAUCACGCAGAACUCCGGUUGCGAAGGCAGCAUACCGGCGCCCUACUGACGCUGAGGCACGAAAGCGUGGGUAUCGAACAGGAUUAGAUACCCCUGUAGUC
rnacentral:rRNA from 1 species